rnacentral:rRNA from 1 species
CACCGGCAGCUCUAGUGGUAGCAGUUUUAUUGGGCCUAAAGCGUCCGUAGCCGGUUUAAUAAGUCUCUGGUGUAAUCCUGCAGCUUAACUGUGGGAAUUGCUGGAGAUACUAUUAGACUUGAGAUCUGGAGAGGUUAGAGGUACUCCCAGGGUAGAGGUGAAAUUCUGUAAUCCUGGGAGGACCGCCUGUUGCGAAGGCGUCUGACUGGAACGAUUCUGACGGUGAGGGACGAAAGCUAGGGGCGCGAACCGGAUUAGAUACCCGGGGAGUCCUAGCUGUAAACGAUGCGGACUUGGUGUUGGGGUGGCUUUGAGCUGUCCCAGUGCCGAAGGGAGCUGUUAAGUCCGCCGCCUGGGAAGUACGGUCGCAAGACUGAAACUUAAAGGAAUUGGCGGGGAGCACCACAACGCGUGGAGCCUGCGGUUU